CUGCUGGGACACAAGGCACAAUGAAUCGAUUUUCCAAUAGUUCUCUCACCUCUGCGCUGACUACAGCUUUGGAUGACUGCUGGGACAUAAAGGCACAAUGAAUCGGUCUCCAAUGGUUCUCUCACCUCUGCGCUGACUACAGCUUUGGAUGACUGCUGGGACACAAGGCAC